rnacentral:rRNA from 1 species
UACAGAGGGGGCAAGCGUUAUUCGGAAUUAUUGGGCGUAAAGGGCGCGUAGGCGGCUUGGCAAGUGGAUGGUGAAAUCCCUCGGCUUAACCGAGGAACUGCCGUCCAAACUGCUUCGCUUGAGACCGGGAGAGGUGAGUGGAAUUCCCAGUGUAGCGGUGAAAUGCGUAGAUAUUGGGAGGAACACCAGUGGCGAAGGCGGCUCACUGGACCGGUACUGACGCUGAUGCGCGAAAGCGUGGGGAGCAACGGG